UACGGAGGAUGCAAGCGUUGUCCGGAAUCAUUGGGCGUAAAGGGUCCUGAGGUGGUUUGCUCAGUCCACUGUGAAAGUUCAGGGCUUACCCUUGAAAAUGCGGUGGAAACUAGUAGGCUAGAGUACGGUGGGGGCAGAGGGAAUUCCCGAUGUAGCGGUGAAAUGCAUAGAUAUCGGAAGGAACACCAGUGGCGAAAGCGGCUUCCUGGCCAGCACCGACGUUCAGGCACGAAAGCGUGGGGAGCAAACAGG
rnacentral:rRNA from 1 species